rnacentral:rRNA from 1 species
GACGAACGCUGGCGGCGUGCUUAACACAUGCAAGUCGAACGGAAAGGCCCUGCUUUUGUGGGGUGCUCGAGUGGCGAACGGGUGAGUAACACGUGAGUAACCUGCCCUUGACUUUGGGAUAACUUCAGGAAACUGGGGCUAAUACCGGAUAGGAGCUCCUGCUGCAUGGUGGGGGUUGGAAAGUUUCGGCGGUUGGGGAUGGACUCGCGGCUUAUCAGCUUGUUGGUGGGGUAGUGGCUUACCAAGGCUUUGACGGGUAGCCGGCCUGAGAGGGUGACCGGCCACAUUGGGACUGAGAUACGGCUCAGACUCCUACGGGAGGCAGCAGUGGGGAAUAUUGCACAAUGGGCGGAAGCCUGAGGCAGCAACGCCGCGUGCGGGAUGACGGCCUUCGGGUUGUAAACCGCUUUCGCCUGUGACGAAGCGUGAGUGACGGUAAUGGGUAAAGAAGCACCGGCUAACUACGUG